rnacentral:rRNA from 1 species
AAGAACGCAGCGAAAUGCGAUACGUAGUGUGAAUUGCAGAAUUCCGCGAAUCAUCGAGUCUUUGAACGCAACUUGCGCCCGAGGCUCGUCCGAGGGCAUUCCCGUCAGAGCGUCACCGCGCCACCCACCGCUCCGCUCCAGGCGAGCCGGAGACGACGUGGAACUGGCCGUCCCGAACGGAUGGAAUUCGUCGGGUCGGCUGAAAUGGAUGGAAUCCUCGGCCCCGCGGCGACGCAGCCCGCGAUCAGGUGACCCGCGCCGCGACUAACCUCGCGGCCGCGGUUUCUCAAAAGCGCGCGGCUGCCGUCGCCCUGUCGGCCCCAGGGGAUCCGCACGUACGAAGCAGGUCUUCCUCAACCCCCUCCCCUCCGGGAGGGGGGUUCAGGGAAAUAAAAUACGGUCACGCAACGGACCUCUGAUCGGGAAAGAUCACCCGCUGAGUUUAAGCAUAUCAAUAAGC